UAAAUAAAUUCACAAUAAGAAAAAUAAGAGAAAUUGCAGAUAUGUUUCUCCCUAUUUAUAUGCAUAUGCACAUUCACAUCUUUUGCCCACUUUUCUAUUUGGUUCUCUGUGUUUUUCUCAUUAUGGCAAAGUAUUUCCCAGUAAUUUCUCCAAUUGCUUCUUGACAGCAUCUUACUUGGAUCUAUCUAAUGGACUUGCAGAUGGGCCGCACAAUCUGUAAGAAACACGAUGAAGACAUUGACAACUGCCCCUUGCAAGAAGGCCCAGGAGAGAAACAGGUGGGCUGCACUUUCAUUGUGGAUGCUCGACCCUGGUUUUCCCAGUUCACCCUCCUGAACAGCACCUGUGUCUAGGAAAGGCAGGCAAGGAGCCCCUGGCUUCUCAAGGCAGAAGUUCCUUUUCUGCUGGAGGGUGACAGUCAAAGGUCUGUGCAGCGGCAGGGGGAAUAAAGGCAUCUGAGAGCA